AAUUUUAUUGUUUAGUAUAUUCUCAGAGGUAUAUUCUAUAAUGAUAUAUUUACUAUACACUGAUACACGUCUGGGCCGCCUGUGUUGUGAUUUAAUAAUAAUUGUGAAAUAACAAAUUAGCAAUCAAGUAUCUGUUCGUGUUUAUUUUUUGAACAUGCAUAUUUCUUCUUUAUACAAAUAAAAUGCUUUAACUCUUUCUCAACAGGGUCCAAUUUCGUCGACCGCGAGCGGUCGACAGGCUCGAAAAUUUCAUACUUUCGGUUCAGUGCAUGCUAUGAAGACAGAAAUACCACCAUUCGAUUCAG